UAAUACGAAGGGGGCUAGCGUUGCUCGGAAUUACUGGGCGUAAAGGGCGCGUAGGCGGACAGUUAAGUUGGGGGUGAAAGCCCGGGGCUCAACCUCGGAAUUGCCUUCAAUACUGGCUGUCUUGAGUGUGAGAGAGGUGUGUGGAACUCCGAGUGUAGAGGUGAAAUUCGUAGAUAUUCGGAAGAACACCAGUGGCGAAGGCGACACACUGGCUCACUACUGACGCUGAGGCGCGAAAGCGUGGGGAGCAAACAGGAUUAGAUACCCUGGUAGUCCACGCUGUAAACGAUGAGUGCUAGUUGUCGGGCGGCAUGCCGUUCGGUGACGCAGCUAACGCAUUAAGCACUCCGCCUGGGGAGUACGGUCGCAAGAUUA
rnacentral:rRNA from 1 species